AUGGAUGCAGAAAAAAUGGAGUCUCAUGGCUGCAUAAAGCGGAAGAGCGGGAAGUGGACCAACGACACUUGCAUCAUACGAGGCACCUGCAACGGGCCCUGCCGGGACGAGGGCUUCGACAACGGCCAUUGCCAUAACACCUGGUCAUGCAUCUGCUACAAGAACUGCAGCUUAUCCCUCCAGCCACCGCAUGCAUGA
rnacentral:rRNA from 1 species